rnacentral:rRNA from 1 species
GAUAAACGCUGGCGGCGUGCCUAACACAUGCAAGUCGAACGCCCUCUUGGCAACAAGAGGGAGUGGCGGACGGGUGAGGAACACGUAGAUUACCUACCCCUUGGUGAGGAAUACUGGCGAGAAAUCGCCAACAAUUCCGCAUAGCCUUUUUGCGCGAGCAAGAAGGAAAGCUUCGCAUAGCGAGGUGCCAAAGGACGGGUCUGCGCCUGAUUAGCUGGUUGGUGGGGUAAUGGCCUACCAAGGCGACGAUCAGUAGCUGGUCUGAGAGGACGAUCAG